rnacentral:misc_RNA from 1 species
UCCGGUUUGGCACCGGCAGUCUCCCUAGAGUUCCCGGCAUGAUCCGCUGGCAACUAAGGACAGGGGUUGCGCUCGUUGCGCCACUUAAGGCAACACCUCACGGCACGAGCUGACGACAGCCAUGCACCACCUGUGCAGGCUCCGAAGAGCACCCGCUUUCACGGGUUUCACCCUGCAUGUCAAGCCCAGGUAAGGUGGGGAUGACGUAGACCUUGGACC